AACGUAGGGGGCGAGCGUUAUCCGGAAUCACUGGGCGUAAAGGGCGUCCAGGCGGUCCAGUAAGUCCUGCGUGAAAGCUCCCGGCUCAACUGGGAGAGCGCGUGGGAGACUGUUGGGCUAGAGACUCGGAGAGGGGUGUGGAAUUCCCGGUGGAGUGGUGAAAUGCGUUGAGAUCGGGAGGAACGCCAGUGGCGAAGGCGGCCCCCUGGGCGAGUUCUGACGCUGAAGCGCGACAGCGUGGGGAGCAAACGGG
rnacentral:rRNA from 1 species